rnacentral:lncRNA from 1 species
UCAAGUGUAGUAUCUGUUCUUAUCAGUUUAAUAUCUGAUACGUGGGUCAUUGGCUCACACGAUAUUAAAUUAAUUUCUUUAAGGGGAGGGCCCAACACAGUAGCUUGCUACUGGGGUCUUCGCGCGUCGCCUCUGCGUUGCACUACUGCAUUGGCCUGGCGCACCCUCCAACUCCAGUUCAAAAUGCUUAAAAUGCCAGCCAUCUCAACCGUAACUCUAUGCUUAAACAGGAAGCCAAUCUUGAUAUUAUUCUAA